CCCACGGUGGAGCGACUCGAACCUGCGAACAGCGGCAGUUUGAUCAGUAGCGUCUUCUUCUCCGGUGUCAUUGCGUCGGUUUUGCGGCGGCCCAAGCAUAGAAUGUGUGCAGCAGCAGCUUCGUGUUUCUACUUUUUGAUUUGGUGCUCUUUUGACAGCUACGUCGAUUCAGAUCUGUAGCAGUCUAUUGGAACUCGAUGCCUUACACCCUAACUCUAUAGAGGCGGCGAUCAGGAGCGUUUCGACAUCAAUUUCACGAACAACAGCGUUUUUGUGGCAUUUUUUGCAUUUUGGUUAUAUUCGGCGCUUACCCACACCCAUUAUGAGCUUGGUCAUUGCUACCCACCCUAUCCCGACGUUGGAUAAGCAAGCCUGAACCUCAUCGACGUUGUUUAAGCAGUGUCGAAACACUUCUUAAGUGACCCAACGAUGACCCAAGUGUUUCGACAUGAGUUAGUAGGAACCCUUCGACAAGUUUAGUAGCGCUUUGGGACUUUGUUUUUUUGUAGGUAACGAGUUAACUACUGGAAUGGUGAUGGCGAGGAGAAGACUUGAAUAGAGAGACCAUUUAACGCUGCGUUGUUAAGUUUCAAUUUGGAUUGGAUAGUUAUAGUUGUUUAUUGCAACUUGAGUAUGUUAUUAGAUUAAUAAAUUGGGUUGUUAAGUUCCAUAUUUAAAGGAUGUUUUAGGAUUGACAGUUCGUUAUUCUUUUGAGAACAUUAAUUUGUUUAGCUUAUUGAACUGUGGUGAUGUAAUCUA